AAGAUGAUUAUCUGGAGUACUGAUGUAAAUCAGUACGGGAUUAUUCAGCGUACCGCGACUUGUCUUGUAUCCACCGCUUUUAUCCCAAAUCCCGUUCACUGAAAAUUCACGGGAAAUUAAGAAAACAUGGCGCAGUGACAGGUGGGCAUGACUCAAACAGAAAUAAAUUAAUAAGACUCAACAAGGAAAGAAACAAAAUAAACCUGUUUUGGCCGCCAAGAAGCAAUUAACCGAGUUAAUGAAAAUAAAAUGGCUUCGAGAUAACAAGCAAGUUACGUGUCCCGGAAAGGGAGGUAAAACCUCCAAAAAAAGGGGGAACUUCCAUCCACGUAGACUGGACGUCUUGUGCCAUCAAACCAGACUCCUUUAACGAACACAAAAAGACUUAAAAAAACAAGUUUUUAUCGCACCAUACCUGUUCCGAAGGUCAAACAUCCCAGAAGAGAAGAGCUCCCUCGAAAUCUAUGAAAUUGAAGAAGUGGUGAAGAAUUCGUCGACGACUGGAAAAGAAUUCAAACCAAGUGAAUCAGCGUGAGAAAAAACUGUUCAAUCGGCCUUGAAAGAGUUGAGGUUUAUAACAUUCCUCAAUCAGUCAACGAGCCGGAACAUUUCGUCAUUGAAAGAUGAGUAAUUAUUCGGAUGGCACGGAUAUGGGCGGGUAAACUUGUUCAACAAGACGAUAAACAAACCACGUCAAUUGGCAUUGCAACGCCUCCGGGUAACACGUUGGCACAACACACAUUUUGUGGCGCCAAUAGUUGUGCCGUUAAGCAUGGACUUCUUUGUGUCGUUCAUCGCAACAGCAUUGCAUGUAUCACCAAAGUCAAAGCGAAAAUAUUUACAAACAAUGUCUUUUCCAAAUUUGGUAAUCCAUUUAUUUGAUUUAUUGUUUAUGAAACAGCCGUGGAUUACUGUAACGUCAAGAUGUGUCCUAUUUACACAUGUUUGGCUUGAUAAAUCUUGGUUAUCGGUGAUUGAACUAAUCUGACAUCACUGUGUCAUGCAGUCUACACGAAGCAGUGUUGCCACUUUGCAGGUUUUAACCUGUUCUGCAGGUUUUUGAGGGUCUGGACAAGUUUUCUUUUUUAUCUUGCAGGUUUGCAAGUUUUUGUAGGUUUUUAUCACUUUUGCAGGUUUUUCACAGUUUUUUUCAGUUAUUUUGUGUCUUUUUUAUACAUUUUUUCAGUUUUUAAGAAAAAAGUGGCGUAAAUUAGAUGAGUUGACAACGCCACAUAUAAAAAAUUGGAAUUGGCCGCGUUUACGGCUUGUCGUUUUCGUCUAAUCAUCUGCUCUGCUGAACGAAAAAGGAAAAACCAUGCUCAAAGCCUCAGAUCCUUUAUAUUUAUUUAAACCAUUUCUUCGUUUUUGCUCAGAAUUUUGGUGUUAAACAAAGUAGUUGGCCCCAAUUCAUGUCUUCUUCGUCCACAUCAGAUUUGAACUGACGAAAAAAAAAUGACACACUCAUGAUUUUAUUGCAUAUUAAAAAAUGGUUUUAAAUGAAGGAAAAAGCGCUCACAAUCAUAUCUUUCCUGACGAACUACUCGAAGUAGUAUCAAAAGUCAAAUCUAAUGCAGUUGUCGAUCCUGGUGAAAGAGAUGGAGUCAAAUAGAAGUCCUUUCCUUCUAUCAGAGAAUUUCUCUGAUAAAUUUUCCAAUGAAAAUCGAAAGUUUUCGUGAUGCACAAUGUGAUUCUCGUUCCAUAAUAUUUAAUCCAGUUAACGUUUUCUGUUUGUCUUAUUCUUAAUGAUCUUCUAUGUUCAACUGUUUCAAAAAUUGAAAUUGAAAUACAGAUAAAGAUUUAAAAAGGUAAUUUUCAUGAAAAUAUAACAAAUUUUCAGCAAGUUUUUUCAGGUUUUUCAAAAAAAAAUUCAAGUUUUUAGCAGGGUUUUUAGAAAAAUGUGCAAGUUUUCAGCAGGUUUACAGUGAUCUGGCAAUCAGGUUUUUCAGGUCUUUUGUAAAAAAUUCCGAGUUUUCCCGAUUUUCGAAGUGGCACCACUG